GAUGAACGCUGGCGGCGCGCCUAAUACAUGCAAGUCGAGCGAACAGACGAGGAGCUUGCUCCUCUGACGUUAGCGGCGGACGGGUGAGUAACACGUGGAUAACCUACCUAUAAGACUGGGAUAACUUCGGGAAACCGGAGCUAAUACCGGAUAAUAUAUUGAACCGCAUGGUUCAAUAGUGAAAGACGGUUUUGCUGUCACUUAUAGAUGGAUCCGCGCCGCAUUAGCUAGUUGUUAAGGUAACGGCUUACCAAGGCAACGAUGCGUAGCCGACCUGAGAGGGUGAUCGGCCACACUGGAACUGAGACACGGACCAGACUCCUACGGGAGGCAGCAGUAGGGAAUCUUCCGCAGUGGGCGAAAGCAUGACGGAGCAACGCCGAGUGAGUGAUGAAGGUCUUCGGAUCGUAAAAAUCUGUUAUUAGGGAAGAACAAAUGUGUACGUAAAUAUGCACGUCUUGACGGUACCUAAUCAGAAAGCCACGGCUAACUACGUG
rnacentral:rRNA from 1 species